rnacentral:tRNA from 1 species
AAGACCUAUGUGAUACUAACACACAUCUCCUGAAUGCAACUCAGACACUUUAAUUAAGAUAAGGCCUC